UAGUCCACGCCGUAAACGAUGAUUACUCGUUGCGCACGAUACAUUGUGCGUGACUGAGCGAAAGCAUUAAGUAAUCCACCUGGGGAGUACGUUGGCAACAAUGAAACUCAAAGGAAUUGACGGGGGGCCCGCACAAGCGGAGGAACAUGUGGUUUAAUUCGAUGAUACGCGAGGAACCUUACCUGGACUUAAAUGCAGAUUGACCGGCCUGGAAACGGGUCUUCUCUUCGGAGCAAUCUACAAGGUGCUGCAUGGUUGUCGUCAGCUCGUGCCGUGAGGUGUCGGGUUAAGUCCCAUAACGAGCGCAACCCCUAUCGUUAGUUGCUAGCAGGUAAUGCUGAGGACUCUAGCGAGACUGCCACCGUAAGGUGAGAGGGAAGGUGGGGGAUGACGUCAAAUCAGCACGGGCCCUUACGGUCCAGGGGCUACACACGUGUUACAAUGGCC
rnacentral:rRNA from 1 species